rfam:Lepisosteus oculatus linkage group LG3, whole genome shotgun sequence.
GCCAGUAGCCAUAUCACCCUGCAGCUCACAGCUCACAGCUGGCAGUCUACUGAAGCUCAACAGGUGUGAGCCUGGUCAGUACCUGGAUGGGAGACCUCCAGGGAAAAACUAAGGUUGCUGCUGGAA